rnacentral:rRNA from 1 species
CAAUAGCGUAUAUUUAAGUUGCUGCAGUUAAAAAGCUCGUAGUUGGAUUUCGGGUGGGAAUGGCCGGUCCGCCGUUUCGGUGUGCACUUGCUACGCCCACCUUGCUGCCGGGGACGUGCUCUUGAGUUCACGCUCGGGACACGGAGUCGGCAAGGUUACUUUGAGUAAAUUAGAGUGUUCAAAGCAGGCCUACGCUCUGAAUACAUUAGCAUGGAAUAACACGAUAGGACUCUGGCCUAUCUUGUUGGUCUGUAGGACCGGAGUAAUGAUUAAGAGGGACAGUCGGGGGCAUUCGUAUUUCAUUGUCAGAGGUGAAAUUCUUGGAUUUAUGAAAGACGAACUACUGCGAAAGCAUUUGCCAAGGAUGUUUUCAUUAA